rnacentral:rRNA from 1 species
GACGAACGCUGGCGGCGUGCUUAACACAUGCAAGUCGAACGGAAUGGCCUCUUUCGGGGGGUACUCGAGUGGCGAACGGGUGAGUAACACGUGAGUAACCUGCCCUUGACUUUGGGAUAACUUCAGGAAACUGGGGCUAAUACCGGAUAGGAGCUCCUGCUGCAUGGUGGGGGUUGGAAAGUUUCGGCGGUUGGGGAUGGGCUCGCGGCUUAUCAGCUUGUUGGUGGGGGAGUGGCUUACCAAGGCUUUUACGGGUAGCCGGCCUGAGAGGGUGACCGGCCACAUUGGGGCUGAGAUACGGCCCAGACUCCUACGGGGGGCAGCAGUGGGGAAUAUUGCACAAUGGGUGGGAGCCUGAUGCAGCAACGCCGUGUGCGGGAUGACGGCCUUCGGGUUGUAAACCGCUUUCGCUCAUGACGAAGCUUUGUGUGACGGUAGUGGGUAAAGAAGCACCGGCUAACUACGUG